rnacentral:misc_RNA from 1 species
AACCAGUCCAAGCCCACACCAUGGAAGACAACGGGGAGCCUUUAACCGGGGGGAAUAGCAAAAUCACGCGAACUGUCUCGAACGCCUAUGAUGAAUUUCAUCAGAUCAUACCUUCGAUGGAUGUGCCUGGAUCAAUCCAAUAAAGGGUUGAUUUGCCUUUCUUGGUUCAUGUUCAUUCUCUUUGCCAUUGUCGUCCCUGCAAUCUCC